UCUACUUCCUCUGUUCAUAAAUCCCUAGAAUUUUCUACUUCAAAGUUUCGUCUUCCGGCUACCGGUGGUCAGAGGCAGAUCUACAAGCGGCGGUAUUCCGACAAAGGAAAACUAUCACCACGGUAUCUAGUGAGCUAAAAACGAAUCAGAUCAUAAAAAUUACAGUUAACGAAAGAGAAGAGAAAAUCGACGGUGAAUAUUAUCAUCACGCAUGGAUCUUAGAGGAAGUUAAUGGAGUCCAUGUCAUCUCUCGCAACUCCCACUUGCCUUGGCUCUCUAAAACCUCACACUCCAGAUCUCUUAUUGAACUUGAGAGAAUGAAAUGGGCGGUGACGAAGUGCAAUUUGUGGCUGAAUCGUUUUGAAGAACAAAAGAAAUUUUAACCCUUGGACCGCACUUCAAGGAUGCAAACAACUUCAUAUGGCCAUUCAAUCUCAAAACACAUUUGAGAUGCAUGAAAAAACAAAAGAGCUGCACUAUGUGGAAGGAGGUGAUGCUAGAAAUCGUGAUGAUUUUAUAGAUGAGCUUAU